rnacentral:rRNA from 1 species
CCUACGGGAGGCAGCAGUGGGGAAUCUUGGACAAUGGGCGCAAGCCUGAUCCAGCCAUGCCGCGUGAGUGAAGAAGGUCUUCGGAUUGUAAAGCUCUUUUACCAGGGACGAUAAUGACGGUACCUGGAGAAUAAGCCCCGGCAAACUUCGUGCCAGCAGCCGCGGUAAUACGAAGGGGGCUAGCGUUGUUCGGAAUUACUGGGCGUAAAGCGCACGUAGGCGGGCGAUUAAGUCAGGGGUGAAAUCCCGGAGCUCAGCUCCGGAACUGCCUUUGAUACUGGUCGUCUAGAGAUCGGAAGAGGUGAGUGGAAUUCCCAGUGUAGAGGUGAAAUUCGUAGAUAUUGGGAAGAACACCAGUGGCGAAGGCGGCUCACUGGUCCGAUACUGACGCUGAGGUGCGAAAGCGUGGGGAGCAAACAGGAUUAGAUACCCGUGGUAAGUCCACGCCGUAAACUAUGGAAGCUAGCCGUCAGUCAGCUNNUGAGUGUGGCGCAGCUACGACAUAAGUCUUCCGUCCGUCGGGAGGUACGGUCGCGAACGAAUUAAAACGUUAAAACGGUAAGUUAGACGGACGUGAGACGUGCGACGGACGACGACGAGGGAGAGG